CACCCUUGGCCUGUCCCAUUUCUGCCUCCCUCCCGCUGUUAAAAUCUGUUUGGACUCUCAUUCUGACGGCACCCAUUCACUGCAGAGCAUCCAUUGCUGAGACACUGAUGCAGUGCUACAUUUUUACAAACCUGAUGACGAAACAAACUCAUCUACAUCUCAGAUGGUCUGAGGCUGGCUGCAGUCUGUCUUACUCAAGGAACGGUACAGAGGUUUCUGAAUAAAUCUGUUUCAUGUCAUGGGAAUGUGCAGCAAAACAAGUCAGAGAUGUACUCUGAUACUCUCCGAGGAUGAUGAUGAUGAUGAUGAAGCAGCUCAGGUGAAAUGGCCACAGCUCUUCCAGGACACGUGUUGAGCACCAUUUAAGAGCACUACAUAGACAGCAUGACGAUCUGAGCGUCAGCUGCUUCUGAGACUGAUCUGAGAUCUGGAGCAUACCCAUCCCAAACACUGCUGUCGAUCGUUAGAGUUUCUCAGGGAUGACGUCAUCACAGUUUCAUAGCAUGACUUUACUAUAAUCCUGACUAAAUCAAUAAUCACUUACACUGCUG
ensembl:lncRNA